rnacentral:rRNA from 1 species
GACGAACGCUGGCGGCGCGCUUAACACAUGCAAGUCGAGCGAAGCGGCGGACGGGUGAGUAACACGUUAGUAACCUGCCUUAGAAAUUGGGAUAGCCUCGGGUAAACGGGAUUAAUACCACAUGGUCUAAGCUGGACUCGCGUCCCAUUCGCUAGUUGGUGAGGUAACGGCCCACCAACGCGACGAAGGGGAGCCGGCAGUGGAGGGUGAACGGUCACAUUGGAACUGAGACACGGUCUAAACUCUACGGGAGGGAGCAGUGUGGAAGACUGCACAAUGGAGGGAACUCUGAUGCAGCGACGUGGGGUGAACGAAGAAGGGUGUCGAGUCGCACAUUUCUUUUAUAUGGGAAGCGGUACUAGAAGAAAAAGCCCCGGCUAACUACGUGCCAGCAGCCGCGGUAAUUC